GGCUAUAAGGUGGGUUAAAGUGCCAAUG
rnacentral:sRNA from 1 species